rnacentral:rRNA from 1 species
UACACUCCUACGGGAGGCAGCAGUGGGGAAUUUUGGACAAUGGGCGAAAGCCUGAUCCAGCAAUGCCGCGUGAGUGAAGAAGGCCUUCGGGUUGUAAAGCUCUUUUGUCAGGGAAGAAACGGUGAAAGCUAAUAUCUUUUGCUAAUGACGGUACCUGAAGAAUAAGCACCGGCUAACUACGUGCCAGCAGCCGCGGUAAUACGUAGGGUGCAAGCGUUAAUCGGAAUUACUGGGCGUAAAGCGUGCGCAGGCGGUUUUGUAAGUCUGAUGUGAAAUCCCCGGGCUCAACCUGGGAAUUGCAUUGGAGACUGCAAGGCUAGAAUCUGGCAGAGGGGGGUAGAAUUCCACGUGUAGCAGUGAAAUGCGUAGAUAUGUGGAGGAACACCGAUGGCGAAGGCAGCCCCCUGGGUCAAGAUUGACGCUCAUGCACGAAAGCGUGGGGAGCAAACAGGAUUAGAAACCCGGGUAGUCCCA